AACAACGAUAACAAGGGCGGCCAGGCUGCCCUCCUGAUUGCUGAACAUGCGGUACGGACAGACAGACUGCUGCGGGUCGUUCCCCUGCGGCAGGAAAAAAGAGACCGCUCAACAAUCUUAUGGGUAGCCUGGCUACCCUUUUUUACCGGAGC
rnacentral:sRNA from 1 species